GGUAAAACUGCCUUGUUGCCCAGAAAAGUCAGGGCAUAGAUAAGACUGGGAAAAAUUACAUUGUACAUACAGACCCCAGAGUUCAGGACAGGUAAAAAGGAUAAAUAAAACCAGAUUAGCCUUUGGAAUCUGGCACUAGAGACUGGGUACAGCUCCUUCCCCUAGCACUGUUCUAUGUGUGAAACACCUCGUCUCAGCUUGGACUAACCCCCUAUGAGAUCCAAUAUGGGGGACCCUCCUCUUAGUUUCCUAAGGCCCCUCAUGACCCAUUUGCUCACAAGCCCCAUCUGCAGGUGCGGUUGAAGGCUCUCCAGAUCUCCGAGCCCUAGCAUAGAGACCUCUGGCCACCCUGACACCUGGAAAUCUCGCAUUCGUUCCAGAAUUGACGCCUGGGGGGCGAGAAGCGGGACUGUCUCCAUGGGUGUCGAGAAGGACUUGGGACAUAAAAUGGUAUUUAUCUGACCAGAGCCUGCUGCUGCAGGCCAGACUAGACCCUCCCUAAAGGGGCCCUAGCUAUCCCUGCUGCUGCCCGCUGGGCUAAGCUACUCUCCCUGCUUCUCUGCUGGCACCUCCCAACACCAGCCUGGGCACCCGGAAAUCUCACACCCGUUCCAGGUUGGCGAUUCUGUGUAUGUUCAGAGACACCGGUCCCAGAACCUUAAACCUCGCUGGAAGGGACCCUACACCUACUGCCCUCAAAGUGGACGAUCUUGCAGCCUGGAUCCAUGCAUCUCACGUCAAGCCUACACCUCCACGGGACGACCCAGGACCAUCCAAAUGAAAGUUUCAGCGUACCCAAAAUCCUCUCGCCUCUUGGGAGGAUACUGAGCAAACCCCUGGAAACUUUUAUCCUGUAUGCAAAUAUUCUGAAUGAUAUGUUUGUCUGGGGGGGAAAAACAAUAUUAGGGGGGGCGGCUAAAGUUUAUUGUGCUGCCUGGGGAUGUAAAACCAAUGUCAAUGUCUCCUGGUUGAGGGUUAACAAAAAGGACUUAGUCUCUUUCACCCGUACCACACCAGAAAA